rnacentral:pre_miRNA from 14 species
UAUUAUGCAACCAUCAAGCCACAGAAAGACCCCCAGAGGGGGGAGACCCUCACUCAAGUCUCGGGAUGACGCAACCCCCCAAGAACACACGUAAGACC